UGAGUUUGAUUAUGGCUCAGGAUGAACGCCGGCGGCGUGCUUAACACAUGCAAGUCGAACGAACCUUCGGGUUAGUGGCGGACAGGUGAGUAACGCGUGAGAAUCUGCCCUCAGGAGGGGGAUAACGGUUGGAAACGACCGCUAAUACCCCAUAUGCCUACUGGUGAAAUGAAUUNNNNCUGAGGAUGAGCUCGCGUCUGAUUAGCUAGUUGGUGAGGUAAUGGCUCACCAAGGCUUCGAUCAGUAGCUGGUCUGAGAGGAUGAUCAGCCACACUGGGACUGAGACACGGCCCAGACUCCUACGGGAGGCAGCAGUGGGGAAUUUUCCGCAAUGGGCGAAAGCCUGACGGAGCAACGCCGCGUGAGGGACGAAGGCCUCUGGGCUGUAAACCUCUUUUCUCAAGGAAGAAGAUAUGACGGUACUUGAGGAAUAAGCCACGGCUAAUUCCGUGCCAGCAGCCGCGGUAAUACGGGAGUGGCAAGCGUUAUCCGGAAUUAUUGGGCGUAAAGCGCCCGCAGGCGGCUUCUCAAGUCUGCUGUUAAAGCGUGGAGCUUAACUCCAUCACGGCAGUGGAAACUG
rnacentral:rRNA from 1 species